rnacentral:rRNA from 1 species
GACGAACGCUGGCGGCGUGCUUAACACAUGCAAGUCGAACGGAAAGGCCCUGCUUUUGUGGGGUGCUCGAGUGGCGAACGGGUGAGUAACACGUGAGUAACCUGCCCUUGACUUUGGGAUAACUUCAGGAAACUGGGGCUAAUAACGGAUAGGAGCUCCUGCUGCAUGGUGGGGGUUGGAAAGUUUCGGCGGUUUGGGAUGGACUCGCGGCUUAUCAGCUUGUUGGUGGGGUAGUGGCUUACCAAGGCUUUGACGGGUAGCCGGCCUGAGAGGGUGACCGGCCACAUUGGGACUGAGAUACGGCCCAGACUCCUACGGGAGGCAGCAGUGGGGAAUAUUGCACAAUGGGCGGAAGCCUGAUGCAGCAACGCCGCGUGCGGGAUGACGGCCUUCGGGUUGUAAACCGCUUUCGCCUGUGACGAAGCGUGAGUGACGGUAAUGGGUAAAGAAGCACCGGCUAACUACGUG